GUGAGUCAUCGAAUCUUUGAACGCACCUUGCGCCCCUUGGUAUUCCGAGGGGCACACCCGUUUGAGUGUCGUGAAAUUCUCAAACCUUCUUGGUUUCUUGACCAAGAUGGCUUUGGACUUUGGAGGCAUUUGCUGGCUUUGCGAAAAGCCAGCUCCUCUUAAAUGACAUUAUUGGGGUCCCCUUUGCCGAUCCCCAGGCGUGAUAAGAUGUUUCUACGUCUUGGGAUUUGCUCUGUUCCUUGGGAACCUGCCUCUAACCGUCUCAUGGAAGACAUUGUUCGAGCUUGCUCGACCCACGAACCUUGACCUCAAAUCGGGUGAGACUACCCGCUGAACUUAA
rnacentral:rRNA from 1 species